rnacentral:lncRNA from 1 species
GAGAGAAUUUGGCUCUGUCGUAGUAAUGCAGGGUGAGGGAUGCAGGACAGAGGAGUGUGGCAGAAGCACUAGGAUGAUAAUUUUUGCACAGCUAGAAAUGCAGUGAGUAACCUAGUCUGUAAUUUAUACAAUUUGUGUCUUCUCCUUCUGUCAUUGGUUCUUUUUCUUUACAUCUCACCUUAAAGAUACUGUCUUUUGUAUGUAACCUGGGAUGCCACCAGCAUCCAGAAAAGCUGUGAUAUGGUCUGUACUUAAACAAGAAAAUGUCUUCAAAGCAGAAUGGGAAGUGAUGGACAGUUCAGAUUCUCAAAGAGACAAGACUUGCUUGGAUUUGUUCUACUUCACUUUUCUCUUCGUUGUCUGCAGAAAGAUCCUAGUGUGACUUGGAUGCUUGGAUGUAAAUGAAUAUCUUGCAGCAGUUACACAAAACUGAUGCGGUAACAACAACCCAGAGCCUGCUCUGCCAACAGCCCAUCUCCUUCUCCAAAGCUUCACCACCCAUGUGGGCCCUGACCUUUGACGUCUGCAGAUGGACCUCGCGCUCCUCAGCUCACACCUGUUGGUAGCCAGAGCCAACAAGAGUCAGGAGCAGCACCAGAAGAUCUCUUGGGAUAAGGAUGAUAUAGUGUUCCUUCUAAAAUCCUACCAGCUUUACAACUGUAGUAGCUCCAUGAUCAAGAAGAGCAGCUUGGAAAAUCUCUCCUCCAGAACAUACUUAUGAUUAGUAUCUGCAUUUUGCAUUGCCAGGUCUCCCAGCUUAUGCCACCAAUUGGCUACAGCCACCCAAAGGGCAGAGAUUGGAGGAGGCACUGUGGUGAAUUUUUAAUUUGUUGUGGAUACAGAAGACAAGAGUUGGAACUGCUGUUCUGGAGAAGAUCUGUUAGCCAGAGCCCAACUAGGAACCAGAAGGAACAUCACAGCCUGAGGCCCUACGCUGACAAGGGGAACAAAGCACUUCAUGCUUCUCCAAGCUCUUUCCCGGACUUGGUGUGAAACCCAAGACACCAUUCAUGGGAAAGAGCAGCAGAAAGUGGCAGGUCACACUGCAGAGCAGUGGCAGGUCUUGGUCUCCCAACUCUCCUAGCCUAUUGUUUGCUGUCAGGGCACAGAAGAAGCCUGAAACCACUGUACCAGCCAGGCUUGAGUAUAAUAUUUGAUGCAGUCUUAGAAAACUGAGCCACUGCAAUGUUCUGCUGUGAUUUUUUUGACAUUCUGCCUGUGCUACUGGAAGCACAGUGACAGCAGUCAUCCCCAGCUUCCUGGCUUGUCAUGUUAUGAAGAAAAAUCUUGCAGGCUGCCUUUCACUUGCUUUUCUGCCCUAGCAAGUCUGUGCCCCGGAAGGCAGACAAAUGAGUCUUGUCUCCCAGAUGUGUCCAUGUUUUUCCCAGAGAGCUCACAAGCCCUUCUAUUUCCCUUGUCUCAGUCUCUUCCAAGUAUCUUCCGUAGAUUUUUCAUUGAAACCUCUCCAUCAAAUAAUCUAUUUGUUUUCCCAAUAGUGGAGAAGCAGCUGAAGAACAAGAAAGCUUUAGGACAGGUGCACAGAGAAUCAAUAUGAACACAUAAAUAUCUACAUUGAGAGGAAACAAAACACGUAUGGGUUUGGUUUUGUUUGUUUGUUUUUGGGUUUGUUUGUUUUUGUUUUUGUUUGUCUUGAAAUAAGAAUGAAUAGAUUUAUUUACCACUGGUUUCAAGCUCUCACAAUGGAUUUAUCACCUGAAUUAAAAAUGCUGAAAAACUUCAAAAGAAUGUUUUUAUUGUUUUUGUCUCUAAAUAAAUGCAUAGCUGUGACUAUAACUUCAGCAAUGCCUUUGUAUAAACCCUGAAGAUACACAGCUGCCUGUUCUAGCCCCAAAAUAUUUUGUUUACAGUAGAAUGAAAUUUGUCAUGCAAAGAAAUCUUUACAUUUUUGUUUUGGCAUGUUUAUCAGUUAAAUUAACUUCUGACAAUAAACAUAAUCAUUCAUCUGUGGAAAAUGCCUACAUAAACUAAUGUACGAUAUCUUUAGGAGUAUUUAUAAUAUAUCUCCAGAGUGUUUCCGGGGUUUCUUGCCCCAGUUGAUCUUAUUUUGAGGUAUGCACUGGGGAGAUCUCACCUGGAGUACUGUGUCCAGGUGUGGAGUCUUCAGUGCAGGAGAGACAUGGACCUGUUGGAGUGUGCCCAGAGGAGGGCCACAAAAAUGAUUCAAGGGAUGGAACACCUCUCCUACAUGGACAGGCUGAGAGAGCUUGGGCUGUUCAGCCUGGAAAAGAGAAGGCUCCAGAAAAACCUGAUAGCAGCCUUUACGUAUUUAAAGGGGAGCAACAGGAAAAAAGGGGACAGACUCUUCAGCAGGGUCUGUUGCUACAGGACAAGGGGAAAUGGCUUCAAGAUCAAAGAGGGUAGAUUUAGGUUAGAUAUAAGGAAAAAGUAUUUUACAGUAAGGAUGGUGAGGCACUGGAACAGAUUGCCCAGUGAUAUCGUUGAUGCCCCAUCCCUGGAGACUUUAAAGGCGAGACUGGAUCAGUCUCUGGGCAAUCCGAUCUAGCUGUGCAUGUCCCUGUUCAUUGCAGGGGAGCUGGGCUAGAUGAUUUUAAUGGUCCCUUCCAACUCUAAGGAAUCUAUGAUUCUAUAAUACUUCACAGCUAUGAGAAGUAUUACAAAGGAAGCUAAAAUAGAUAAAGGUAGAAGGAUUCUGAAACAGUAAAAUUUGUGCAUGUACUCUGUAGAAACAGAAGUACAGCUUGAUCAUGCUUUUGGAGGUUGUGUUUCAAGUCUGGAAGUAAUUCCCUUUGGAAUUACAAAUUAUGCCAUGUUUUUACUUCAGGUUACUGAAUGUGGCAUUAUCUUCAUAAUCUGUUGCUAAUCAAAC